AUGCUCAUUUUGGCAACUCAUAAACUAAAAUUGGAAUGAUAUAGAGAAGAUUAGCAUGGCCCCUGCUCAAGUAUGACAUGGAAAUUUGUAAAGUGUUCCAUAUUGUU
ensembl:snRNA U6 U6 spliceosomal RNA